rnacentral:rRNA from 1 species
GACAGAGGGUGCAAACGUUGUUCGGAAUUACUGGGCGUAAAGCGAGUGUAGGCGGUUUCGUAAGUCGGAUGUGAAAGCCCCGGGCUCAACCCGGGAAGUGCACUCGAUACUGCGAAGCUAGAGUACUGGAGAGGUGGGUGGAAUUCUCGGUGUAGAGGUGAAAUUCGUAGAUAUCGAGAGGAACACCGGCGACGAAGGCGGCCCACUGGACAGAUACUGACGCUGAGACUCGAAAGCGUGGGGAGCAAACAGG